CCCUUAGAUGUUCUGGGCCGCACGCGCGCUACACUGAUGCAUUCAACGAGCCUAUCCUUGACCGACAGGUCCGGGUAAUCUUUGAAUCUGCAUCGUGACGGGGAUAGACUAUUGCAAUUAUUAAUCUUCAACGAGGAAUGCCUAGUAGGCGCAAGUCAUCAGCUUGCGUCGAUUACGUCCCUGCCCUUUGUACACACCGCCCGUCGCUCCUACCGAUUGGGUGUGCUGGUGAAAUGUUCGGAUCGGCCGUUUGUCGCGGUUUCCGCGUCAUGUGGCUGAGAAGUUCAUUAAACCCUCCCACCUAGAGGAAGGAGAAGUCGUAACA
rnacentral:rRNA from 1 species